rnacentral:rRNA from 1 species
CAGCAGCCGCGGUAAUACCGGCGGCCCGAGUGGCGGUCACUAUUAUUGGGCUUAAAGCGUCCGUAGCCGGGUUGGGAAGUCCUCCGGGAAAUCUGGCCGCUUAACGGUCAGAAUGCCGGAGGAUACUCCCAGCCUAGGGAGCGGGAGAGGCCGAGGGGAUUCCCGGAGGAGGGGGGAAAACCUAUAAUCCCGGGAGGACCACCUGUGGCGAAGGCGCUCGGCUGGAACGCGUCCGACGGUGAGGGACGAAGGCCAGGGGAGCAAACCGGAUUAGAUACCCGGGUAGUCCUGGCUGUAAACGAUGCGGACUUUGUGUCGGACAAGCUAUGAGCUUGUCCGGUGCCGGAGGGAAACCGUUAAGUCCGCCGCCUGGGGAGUACGGCCGCAAGGCUGAAACUUAAAGGAAUUGGCGGG